ACGAAAAAUGAAUACCAAGUCUCAAGAGUGAACACGUAAUUCAUUACGAAGUUUAAUUCAUUGAGCAUCAAACUUUUAAAUUGAAGAGUUUGAUCAUGGCUCAGAUUGAACGCUGGCGGCAGGCCUAACACAUGCAAGUCGAACGGUAACAGGAAGCAGCUUGCUGCUUUGCUGACGAGUGGCGGACGGGUGAGUAAUGUCUGGGAAACUGCCUGAUGGAGGGGGAUAACUACUGGAAACGGUGGCUAAUACCGCAUAACGUCGCAAGACCAAAGAGGGGGACCUUCGGGCCUCUUGCCAUCAGAUGUGCCCAGAUGGGAUUAGCUUGUUGGUGAGGUAACGGCUCACCAAGGCGACGAUCCCUAGCUGGUCUGAGAGGAUGACCAGCCACACUGGAACUGAGACACGGUCCAGACUCCUACGGGAGGCAGCAGUGGGGAAUAUUGCACAAUGGGCGCAAGCCUGAUGCAGCCAUGCCGCGUGUAUGAAGAAGGCCUUCGGGUUGUAAAGUACUUUCAGCGGGGAGGAAGGUGUUGUGGUUAAUAACCGCAGCAAUUGACGUUACCCGCAGAAGAAGCACCGGCUAACUCCGUGCCAGCAGCCGCGGUAAUACGGAGGGUGCAAGCGUUAAUCGGAAUUACUGGGCGUAAAGCGCACGCAGGCGGUCUGUCAAGUCGGAUGUGAAAUCCCCGGGCUCAACCUGGGAACUGCAUUCGAAACUGGCAGGCUUGAGUCUUGUAGAGGGGGGUAGAAUUCCAGGUGUAGCGGUGAAAUGCGUAGAGAUCUGGAGGAAUACCGGUGGCGAAGGCGGCCCCCUGGACAAAGACUGACGCUCAGGUGCGAAAGCGUGGGGAGCAAACAGGAUUAGAU
rnacentral:rRNA from 1 species